rnacentral:rRNA from 1 species
CAGUCGCCGCGGGAAUACGUAGGGUGCAAGCGUUAAUCGGAAUUACUGGGCGUAAAGCGUGCGCAGGCGGUUAUAUAAGACAGAUGUGAAAUCCCCGGGCUCAACCUGGGAACUGCAUUUGUGACUGUAUAGCUAGAGUACGGCAGAGGGGGAUGGAAUUCCGCGUGUAGCAGUGAAAUGCGUAGAUAUGCGGAGGAACACCGAUGGCGAAGGCAAUCCCCUGGGCCUGUACUGACGCUCAUGCACGAAAGCGUGGGGAGCAAACAGGAUUAGAUACCCCGUAGUCCCUGUCUCUUAUACA